rnacentral:lncRNA from 1 species
CCUUGCAUAUUUCAUAAUUGCUUGUCGCCGCUUACUUAAUGAUAAUAAAACAGAUCAGUUAACAGCGGUGUAAACGACGCCAAUCUCUGUCUCUCAUGCCAUAGCUUGCCAACUAGCAAAUCGGAGCUUUUCUGAGCGCAAAAAGUAAAGUGUGGGAAUCACAGCACGUUCAAUCAGGUAGUGGCGGUGGCACCUUUUACUCUCAAACACACUUAUUUCCCCAAUAAUCACGCUUUUGAAGAACAGUGAAACUUUCCGGAUCAACAGAACCAUCAAGGGGUUCUGAUUAUGAAGUUACACGGUGAACUUUUUUCCAGGGUCUUUAAGUUGGAAGGUACUUUUUUUCGGCCUAAAAGUUUCAAAGUUUCACAAUUCUGUUAUGGACCAAAUUGUUCCCAAAAAAAGUUUUUGCCAUCCUGCGAUCUAAAUUUCCUGCUGUCUAAAUGUCUCCCCAGUUUGUUUCUGAGUUUUUUUCUUGCAGCCUAAAGUGUGGACGUUUAAGUCAUUUUAUACACUGUGGGCAAGUUUCUCUCUCAAUGAUCCUCAAGUAUUCACUUACAUUGAUUUUUUCAAUUGGCUCAUGUUAAUAGUUUUGAAGUUAUCCGAUUUGAGACGCCAAGUUUCAUGUUUGGAGGCUUCUUUCAAUACCUUAAAAUCCUCAUGAAAAAUCCCGAAAUUUUAGCGAUACUUUUCAGUUUAAAGUCAACACCAGCACAAGUUAUCUUAGUUAGUCUCUGGAAAAUUAAGGGGUGUUCGAAACAGAAGGAGAAUUGGUCAAAAUCUGCACUAAACCUGUAUCUAUAGUGCGUAGAAUUUUCAACCUGACAAUUUUUAGGAUGUUGAAGUUAUGGACUUUAAUGUGCCGAGUUGCAGCCUGUUAAGCUUGAAUGUUUCCGAAAAAUCAGUUAAACUGGGAUUUUCGUGAUAUUUUGCGUGUAGUUUCAUCCACUUUAUACACGCGAGGAAAUUUUUCUUAGCUUGCUUCAAAAAAGUUCAAAAGUUUCUGAGUAUGAGUGAAAUUGUUCACUCGUGCUCUCAUCCUUCAUCUGCAAGGAGUAGAAGUUUCGUUUUAGCAACUUUUUUGGUUUUAUAGCUAGAAAUUUGAUUGCGUUCAGGCAUUUGGCCAACGAUACCUUGAAAUGUAGUCUGAACCUUCUUGUACAGGGUGUGCAAAUUUAAGCUCGAUAUCUCGGCAGGUUUUUCUGAUUCCUUGUAGAAGUUUUUUGAAGUUUGGACUCUCUUCAAACAUGCACGAUUUUAUGUGAAUUUUUGCUCCACUUUCAACUUGGAAAAACCGUGAAAAACUCAUGAAUGAAGAAAAACCUCCUAUUACUAAGCGCAAAUUUAAAAUGCAUAUCACAAUAAGCACCUGUUUCGGUCCAACGUCUGUGAAAUAUCAAGAGCUGUUUGAAAAAAAGGGAAAAAAUGAGAGUAAAAAUCUGGCCACCGCCAUGAACUUGAACGAACGGAAUCAGACUGAGGCUGGCGAAGAUGAAACUUCGCUGAAAUUCUGGCUUCAGCUUGUGUAAUGUGCAAUCGACUGCUCAUCUGUAUAGACCGUUUUCCCUAACCGUCUUCUGAAGCACUCACUCUAACCUUCUGAGUCUCCAACGGCGCGAGUCGAGUGGUGGCAGCCUAUUGGCUGCAGCCGCUUCCUCUCCGCGCUCAGAGCACAUUGCACAACGUCAUCUCCUAUCUAAUAACCUGGAUAAUCGGGUGUUGCUUUGCCAGAGUUUCUUCUCCGUUUAGCGGCUAAGACUGGGAAUAUUUUCAAUUGUAUUCGCAUAUUCAGCCAAGUAGCCACGUUCCCAGUUUUAGUGAUCAUUGGGCAAUAAUGGGUUGUAUAUUUGAAACUAUGUGACUUAUAUUCUAUGUAGCGGUAGGUAUUGUUUGACCACACACCAUUGGCGUGCUUUCUCGACAAUUUAAUUAGGCUUAUCAGCUACCAAAUGGUUGCCGAGUACGUAAACUAACUGAUUUAAGUAAAAGUGUGGAUAUUAGUGGCCGAGAAUUAGCGUAGUACUUAGUUGUACUUGGCCACGUCUCAUUUGUGCAUGUCCUAGAACCGUUUUAUCAAUGCCCAUAUGCUUGGGGACAAUUAUUAUUGGCUCAAAUAAACCGUAGCUUGUAGUGUAAGUAAAGUAUACAUUUUGAUCUCGUUGAUAUACAUACAUACAUAUAUGAUUUACCUAUGAUCUACCCAUAUCUAAUAUGUUAUGUUUGCAGAAUUCCAGCCGCAUAGACUAAUUGUAGCAACGCAGAUUUGUCCCACACACAUUGUAACAGCUUGUUUCCUUCUCAUUAUUUACAAUUCUUUAAUAUCCUAUUUUAACAGUACCGACCGCUUUUGCUUUAGGAGAUCCCAUUUCAGCUACUCUAUUUUAGGUAGAUUUCCAGUUGUAAGUAAUCCUAUUUUAACUGUUGUUUUUCGCUUUUUUCUUUCUCACCUCAUCGAUUUGAUGGUUUGAUUAUUGUUUUCAAAUACUUGUCGAUUUUUGCCAUUGGGUAACGGUCAGAAGGAUGUCGGAUCAAUCAUCGCACAAUCUCCGUGUGAGUGGAACAGAGCCGAAUUUUUCGUGUGUGUGUGUCAUAGAAUGAGAUGAAACGCCCCAGAAGUAGGCGGGGCUAAAUUUAUUAAGUGCCCCAGCUUGGAUGAUCGCUAGCAAAGCUAGAUUUUGAAUCGAGCAGAAUGAGACACAUUAACAUUUAAUUGUGAGAAGCGAUAUUUGCAUAACUUUUUUUUUAACUAGAAAAAGUUUCCUUUCCGUACUGGCUAAAGGCUGCAAUCCAAAGGACAUCCUUCUGAACAUCGCCCAAUCGAACCGUAGGGAAUGACGAAUCAAUUUGAUUUGCUUUUCUGUUUCAUGCUUGCCCAUGUCUGAUUUGCCGCGUCCACCACUGUCUCUCUCUCACACACGCAUUUCCCACUCAAAUUGUGCGGUGUUUCUUGGGACUGGGGGACACGCCCCCUUUUGACAUUUCUGUCGUUAAUUUGCUCGUUUCCGUUACGGUGACCGAACCGAUCGAUCGCGUCUGCUUUUUCCAAACCGAAACAAACUCAUACAUACAUGGUGGUGUCUGGUGGGUUCAAUUACUUACUCGUACUGGCUGUGUAACUCGUACUGUUGUUACUGGCUGCGAUGCUGCUUCUUGCUGAUGCACAAAAUCUCUGCAUGAUGACAUUAGGCAAUGGCGCGCCAUCCAACGCCCCAUUUGUGAUCUACACUGACGAGCAAGGACAGUUACUGGACACCCUCCCGGUGUGCCAAGAUUUUAAUCGUGGCCUUUGCACCCGGCCAACUUGCAAAUUUGUACA